rnacentral:lncRNA from 1 species
UAGGUGUCUGCUGCUCCACGCCACUGCUGCCGGCGCCCCGACCUCAUCCCCAGCAGCCCCCUCUGCAGCUAAGGGUUACCACCGCACCACCUCUCUUCUUUGCCUGCCUCAGCGGCCAAGGCUCUGCGGUAGGAGACAACCCAGCCGGGUGGCGGGUGGGCCUGUCUAGGUUUGGGUUUGGGUCUUGCUGAGGCCCGCAUGAGAGGGGGUGGCCGUGACUCGGUGUCCCCUCUUUGCAGGGGGCUCUGCUGCGCCGCGCAGGCCCCUCCUCCUACAUCCUCUUUGGGGGGUCACUGGAAAGCAGAGCUUAGGCCCACUCUCUGUGCUUAGUAUGGCAGACUCCUUCUCACCCCUAGUCCCCUAACUCCCCAGGCCGAGGCCGCCUAGGGUCUGCCCAACAGCGACA